AACGAACGCUGGCGGCAGGCUUAACACAUGCAAGUCGAACGCCCCGCAAGGGGAGUGGCAGACGGGUGAGUAACGCGUGGGAAUCUACCCAACUCUACGGAAUAACUCAGGGAAACUUGUGCUAAUACCGUAUACGCCCUUCGGGGGAAAGAUUUAUCGGAGUUGGAUGAGCCCGCGUUGGAUUAGCUAGUUGGUGGGGUAAAGGCCUACCAAGGCGACGAUCCAUAGCUGGUCUGAGAGGAUGAUCAGCCACAUUGGGACUGAGACACGGCCCAAACUCCUACGGGAGGCAGCAGUGGGGAAUAUUGGACAAUGGGCGCAAGCCUGAUCCAGCCAUGCCGCGUGAGUGAUGAAGGCCCUAGGGUUGUAAAGCUCUUUCACCGGUGAAGAUAAUGACGGUAACCGGAGAAGAAGCCCCGGCUAACUUCGUGCCAGCAGCCGCAGUAA
rnacentral:rRNA from 1 species